CCUACGGGCGGCUGCAGUGAGGAAUAUUGGUCAAUGGACGAGAGUCUGAACCAGCCAAGUAGCGUGAAGGAUGACUGCCCUCUGGGUUGUAAACUUCUUUUAUAUGGGAAUAAAAUGUUCCACGUGUGGGAUUUGUAUGUACCAUAUGACUAAGGAUCGGCUAACUCCGGGCCAGCAGCCGCGGUAAUACGGAGGAUCCGAGCGUUAUCCGGAUUUAUUGGGUUUAAAGGGAGCGUAGGUGGAUUGUUAAGUCAGUUGUGAAAGUUUGCGGCUCAACCGUAAAAUUGCAGUUGAAACUGGCAGUCUUGAGUACAGUAGAGGUGGGUGGAAUUCGUGGUGUAGCGGUGACAUGCUUAGAGAUCACGAAGAACUCCGAUGGCGAAGGCAGUUCACAGGACUGCAACUGACACUGAGGCUCGAAAGUGUGGGUAGCAAACAGGAUUAGAUACCCGGGUAGUC
rnacentral:rRNA from 1 species